AUUGAACGCUGGCGGCAGGCCUAACACAUGCAAGUCGAGCGGAUGAAGGGAGCUUGCCCCUGGAUUCAGCGGCGGACGGGGGAGUAAUGCGUAGGAAUCUGCCUGGUAGUGGGGGAUAACGUCCGGAAACGGGCGCUAAUACCGCAUACGAACUGAGGGAGAAAGAGGGGGAUCUUCGGACCGCACGCUAUCAGAUGAGACUAGGUCGGAUUAGCUAGUUGGUGGGGUAAAGGCCUACCAAGGCGACGAUCCGUAACUGGUCUGAGAGGAUGAGCAGGCACCCUGGAACUGGGACACGGCCCAGACUCCUACGGGAGGCAGCAGUGGGGAAUUUUGGACAAUGGGCGAAAGCCUGCUCCAGCCCUGCCGCGUGUUUGAAGAAGGUCUUCGGAUUUUAAAGCCCUUUGAGUUGGGAGGAAGGGCAGUAAGGUAAUACCUUGCUGUUUUGACGUUACCAACAGAAUAAGCACCGGCUAACUUCGUG
rnacentral:rRNA from 1 species